GCCCAGAUGGGAUUAGCUUGUUGGUGAGGUAACGGCUCACCAAGGCGACGAUCCCUAGCUGGUCUGAGAGGAUGACCAGCCACACUGGAACUGAGACACGGUCCAGACUCCUACGGGAGGCAGCAGUGGGGAAUAUUGCACAAUGGGCGCAAGCCUGAUGCAGCCAUGCCGCGUGUAUGAAGAAGGCCUUCGGGUUGUAAAGUACUUUCAGCGGGGAGGAAGGUGUUGUGGUUAAUAACCGCAGCAAUUGACGUUACCCGCAGAAGAAGCACCGGCUAACUCCGUGCCAGCAGCCGCGGUAAUACGGAGGGUG
rnacentral:rRNA from 1 species